rnacentral:rRNA from 1 species
UACGUAGGGGGCAAGCGUUGUCCGGACUGACUGGGCGUAAAGCGCGCGCAGGCGGUCAGAGGCGUCGGUGCUCAAAGUCCACCGCUUAACGGUGGGAGGCGUGCCGAUACGCUCUGACUGGAGGGCGGGCGAGGGUGGUGGAAUUGCCGGUGUAGUGGUGGAAUGCGUAGAGAUCCGGAGGAACACCAGCGGCGAAGGCGGCAUCCUGGACUGGUCCUGACACUCAGGAGCGAAAGCGUGGGGAGCGAUCCGG